ACUUGGUGUCACAGGAGGUGAAGCAAGGGGUGGCUCUUGAGUAAUCUUCUUUCUUCUCUCCUCAGCCUCCAAGCAUCUCACAGACUUUCUCCUUUGUGGCAUCCUCAUCUUGGGGGCCAUGAUGCAAAAAGAUGAUGAAAAGUGGUCUAAAGAGUGGAGAAGGAUUGGAUUGACCAAAAUCAAAGAGGAGAAGAGGGCUUUUGAGUGAUUCC
rnacentral:lncRNA from 1 species